GAACAGUGUGCACGGGCACGCGCAUGCUUGCAAAUUAUUACCGUAGGCUCCUUCCGCUCAGCUGCUCCGGGCUAAGAGUGUCCCUGAGAACCCAGCAUCCGGAACGAGGCCGGGAACACAGACAACGUUAGCUAGCAAACCCAUCGUGUUGGGUGAUGGACAGAGGGACACGAGCGAAGGUCCGCGGGUCCCUAAGGGGCAGGGACCUCUGGGGUUCUGGAAGGAGAACACAGCUAAAUCAAACGCCAGGCUCUGAGCAUGCGCACUGGGCAUUUCCAGCGGAGUCUUCAGAACCAGGCCGGAAGCAGCGCCUAGGUGCCUCGUUAGCGCAGUAGGUAGCGCGUCAGUCUCAUAAUCUGAAGGUCGUGAGUUCGAUCCUCACACGGGGCACAAUACUUUUGGUGCCCUUUUACCAGGUGACAAGCGGUGGCAGAACAGAGUGCCUUGCAUUGGCCCGCCGUGGCUGGUACGUUCUAGGUGGCCCUGCCCCUGCCCCUGUCCUGACCUUGCCCUUAUGAACUGGCGAUCGCUGGGGACCAGGACGGCCCGGGGUUGGGAGGGUGAACUGCUGAGGGUGUACAGAGAUGGGUACUGCGAGCCGUGCGGGGCUCGCAGCGCGGAGCCGGGUGGGGACCCGCCAGGCGAGAGGACUCCAGGGGCCUCGGCCACUCCUGCAGGCAGCCGGCUGCCGGGCCACCUACAGGUCGUGCCGCUCGUUAGGUGGGCAUGUGUCGGGAGUAACCCACCCCACCUUCCAAACUGCAACCCUGCCCGGGAUAACUGCGGCAGGGAGGACUCUUCCCGGAGUAACAGCCCUUCCUCCGUGGGUCGUGGGGGCAGUGUGGGGAGUCUGUCCUUUCCCGGGGUGUCGUUUUUAGUUCAGUGGCCGAUCCAGGUACUCGGAAGACAGGCACAGGUUGCUUUUCUGGCUCUCUCCGCUUCCCCGGAAGACCCCCUGGAUCGCCACCCAGCCCCAGCUUUAGUGGUCGGCAGAGACACACAGUCAACAGCCAAAGAGCCCCGACUAUUACUGGCUUGCUGCACCUUGCUGACUUGGGGGAUUGAAAAGCUCACUGGGUCCCUGCUACCACAGACUACGACUCUAGGUGGUGGCAUUUCUUAUGGUCACUGGUGGCCAGCAGAGCCACCACGGAGUUUCUCAGCUUUGCGGAUGAUUUCGCCAUUGGAUGCCUUACUGAAUGAAGGCCGUCUUUUGGGCUCAGAGCCUGGAGUUGGGUGGUGUGUGGGGUCAUGUCGUUGAAGAUCGUUGUCCACACAGGGGAUUUCUAAGAUUUUUCCACUCAUGAUCCCUUCCCUUUUGGCUUGAGAAAAUUUUUGCAUGACCCUGGGUUUAUAAGUAUAUAAAUAAUAAAUAAGAAUAAAAUUUACUGAGAAGAAACUACAAUUUUAUUUUAGUUUUUUUUUUUAAGUUGAAAAAUAACUUGAUUGUGUUUGGGGGAGUUGAAAGAUCAUAAGAAUGCUUUGAAUGUCCACCAUUUUCCUGGUAGACCGAGGGAGGUAUUUUUAUUUUAAAACUAGUUUUUAACACCAAUUCUGUGUAUACAUAUAUAAUUUAACCAUUUAUUAAAGAUAAAAGCAAACUGGCAUGCCGGUAUGAUGGAAGCACUUUUGAAUUUUAUACAGUGAAUUAAAUCCUGGCUGAGAAUUUGAUACUGUAAUGUGUAGAUUAUCUUCAGCCUUCUUCAGAGUUGACUGAUAUUUUGUUGGGAAGCGGAGCGUGUGCCUGUCACCACGGCACUUGGCAGGUGGGGCCACGAAGAUCAGUUCAAGGUCAUUCUCAGACACACAGCAAGUUUGAGGCAAGCCUGGGCUGUCAAGUUCUGUCUCAAGAAAGCAGGAACACACCCAAGACACCUCACAAAGUUGACAUUUUGAUUUUAUAAUUAUCAGUGUUGAGAACCCUGCUUUGCAUAAAUAUGUAGUACAAAGUGGCCAAAGUAUGUUCUGGUCCAUUUCAGAAAUUGCUGGAAACUCUGACUUAAUCUCUAGCCAAAAUUUGCUUAGUGGUUUUUUGUUUUUUAAAACUCAAACAGUAAUUUUGACAUUGCUGGGAAGAUUCCAAACACUACCAUUGAACCAUAUCUGCAGCCAUUUUUCAAAUCAAAUAUUUUAACUAUGAUACAAUCUUAAAAUACACCAAUUUGAUGCUUGCACGCUGAGGGAUG